rnacentral:rRNA from 1 species
UACGUAGGGUGCGAGCGUUGUCCGGAAUUAUUGGUCGUAAAGGGCUCGUAGGCGGUUUGUCGCGUCGGGAGUGAAAUCCACUGGCUUAACUGGUGGCUUGCUUUCGAUACGGGCAGACUGGAGGUAUGCAGGGUAGAACGGAAUUCCUGGUGUAGCGGUGAAAUGCGCAGAUAUCAGGAGGAACACCGGUGGCGAAGGCGGUUCUCUGGGCAUGUCCUGACGCUGAGGAGCGAAAGUGUGGGGAGCGAACAGG